rnacentral:rRNA from 1 species
AUUGAACGCUGGCGGCAUGCCUUACACAUGCAAGUCGAACGGUAACAGGUUAAGCUGACGAGUGGCGAACGGGUGAGUAAUGUAUCGGAACGUGCCCAGUCGUGGGGGAUAACUGCUCGAAAGAGCAGCUAAUACCGCAUACGACCUGAGGGUGAAAGCGGGGGAUCGCAAGACCUCGCGCGAUUGGAGCGCCCGAUAUCAGAUUAGGUAGUUGGUGAGGUAAAGGCUCACCAAGCCGACGAUCUGUAGCUGGUCUGAGAGGACGACCAGCCACACUGGGACUGAGACACGGCCCAGACUCCUACGGGAGGCAGCAGUGGGGAAUUUUGGACAAUGGGCGCAAGCCUGAUCCAGCCAUGCCGCGUGCGGGAAGAAGGCCUUCGGGUUGUAAACCGCUUUUGUCAGGGAAGAAAAGGUUCUGGCUAAUACCUGGGACUCAUGACGGUACCUGAAGAAUAAGCACCGGCUAACUACGUG